UUAGGGAGACCUCCCACUCAGAUUGGUGAAAGAAUCCAUCAAUUAGCCAAAUGAGCUGGUUAACCUAGGUCGGUCGAGAGAAUCAAAAAUGGCUUUCAAGCUAAUGUCGGUUCGGAAAAUGGGCUAUUAGCUCAGGUGGUUAGAGCGCACCCCUGAUAAGGGUGAGGUCCCUGGUUCGAGUCCAGGAUGGCCCACCUUAACUUAAAAAGUUAAAAACGACUAGCUAGAAACGAGUUUUUGUUUUUAGUUCUUCUGGUUUUAACCGAUUAUGGGGGUAUAGCUCAGUUGGU
rnacentral:tRNA from 1 species